UUAGAUAAAGCCAAAAAGAGGCUUAUCACUGUUAAUGAUAGAAUUGGUUAUAAACCUAUCUG
rnacentral:tRNA from 1 species